CUGGCGGCGUGCUAACACAUGCAAGUCGACGAAGCACUUAUUACGAUCCUCGGGUGGACGAUUUGUGACUGAGUGGCGGACGGGUGAGUAACGCGUGGGUAACCUGCCUCAUACAGAGGGAUAACAGUUGGAAACGGCUGCUAAUACCUCAUAAGCGCACAGUACCGCAUGGUACAGUGUGAAAAAACUCCGGUGGUAUGAGAUGGACCCGCGUCUGAUUAGCUAGUUGGAGGGGUAACGGCCCACCAAGGCAACGAUCAGUAGCCGACUUGAGAGAGUGAUCGGCCACAUUGGGACUGAGACACGGCCCAAACUCCUACGGGAGGCAGCAGUGGGGAAUAUUGCACAAUGGGGGAAACCCUGAUGCCAGCGACGCCGCGUGAAGGAUGAAGUAUUUCGGUAUGUAAACUUCUAUCAGCAAGGAAGAAAAUGACGGUACUUGACUAAGAAGCCCCGGCUAAAUACGUGCCAGCCGCAGC
rnacentral:rRNA from 1 species